rnacentral:rRNA from 1 species
AACGUAGGAGGCGAGCGUUAUCCGGAUUCAUUGGGCGUAAAGCGUGCGUAGGCGGUUGGGUAAGUCGGACGUUAAAGCCCCUGGCUCAACUAGGGGAGGUCGUUCGAUACUGCUUGGCUCGAGGAUGAGAGAGGAAAGCGGAAUUCCCGGUGUAGCGGUGGAAUGCGUAGAGAUCGGGAGGAACACCAGUGGCGAAAGCGGCUUUCUGGCUCAUUACUGACGCUGAGUGCACGAAAGCGUGGGGAGCAAACGGG